AUACGAGGGGUGCAAGCGUUGUUCGGAAUUACUGGGCGUAAAGGGAGCGUAGGCGGAGAUUCAAGCGGAUUGUACAAUCCCGGGGCCCAACCCCGGCUCUGCAGUCCGAACUGGAUCUCUUGGAUAGUUCAGGGGCAGGCGGAAUUCCUGGGGUAGCGGUGGAAUGCGUAGAGAUCAGGAAGAACACCGAUGGCGAAGGCAGCCUGCUGGGGACUUAUCGACGCUGAGGCUCGAAAGUGCGGGUAGCAAACAGGAUUAGAUACCCUGGUAGUCCGCACCGUAAACGAUGCAUACUGGGUGUCCGGGGGUUCCCCCGGGUACCGUAGCCAACGCGUUAAGUAUGCCGCCUGGGGAGUACGUACGCAAGUAUGAAACUUAAAGGAAUUGACGGGG
rnacentral:rRNA from 1 species